CAACCUGCCGUCUACUCUUGGACAGCCUUCUGAAAGGAAGAUUAAUACAAGAUGGCAUCAUGAGUCCGCAUGUUCACAUGAUUAAAGGUAUUCCGGUAGACGAUGGGGAUGCGUUCCAUUAGAUAGUANGCGGGGUAACGGCCCACCUAGUCUUCGAUGGAUAGGGGUUCUGAGAGGAAGGUCCCCCACAUUGGAACUGAGACACGGUCCAAACUCCUACGGGAGGCAGCAGUGAGGAAUAUUGGUCAAUGGGCGAGAGCCUGAACCAGCCAAGUAGCGUGAAGGAAGACUGCCCUAUGGGUUGUAAACUUCUUUUAUAAAGGAAUAAAGUCGGGUAUGCAUACCCGUUUGCAUGUACUUUAUGAAUAAGGAUCGGCUAACUCCGUGCCAGCAGCCGCGGUAAUACGGAGGAUCCGAGCGUUAUCCGGAUUUAUUGGGUUUAAAGGGAGCGUANAUGGAUGUUUAAGUCAGUUGUGAAAGUUUGCGGCUCAACCGUAAAAUUGCAGUUGAUACUGGAUAUCUUGAGUGCAGUUGAGGCAGGCGGAAUUCGUGGUGUAGCGGUGAAAUGCUUANAUAUCACGAANAACUCCGAUUG
rnacentral:rRNA from 1 species